rnacentral:rRNA from 1 species
AUUGAACGCUGGCGGCAUGCUUUACACAUGCAAGUCGAACGGUAACAGGCCGCAAGGUGCUGACGAGUGGCGAACGGGUGCGUAAUGCAUCGGAACGUGCCCAGUCGUGGGGGAUAACUACUCGAAAGAGUAGCUAAUACCGCAUACGAUCUAUGGAUGAAAGCGGGGGACCGUAAGGCCUCGCGCGAUUGGAGCGGCCGAUGUCCGAUUAGGUAGUUGGUGGGGUAAAGGCUCACCAAGCCAACGAUCUGUAGCUGGUCUGAGAGGACAACCAGCCACACUGGGACUGAGACACGGCCCAGACUCCUACGGGAGGCAGCAGUGGGGAAUUUUGGACAAUGGGCGCAAGCCUGAUCCAGCAAUGCCGCGUGCAGGAAGAAGGCCUUCGGGUUGUAAACUGCUUUUGUACGGAACGAAACGGCUCUGGUUAAUACCCGGGGCUAAUGACGGUACCGGAAGAAUAAGCACCGGCUAACUACGUG